rnacentral:ncRNA from 1 species
GAAAAAACGAAGAUGAGGAAAAGUAAAAAAGGAGAAGCUUAUUAGAGAGAAUCAUCACCCGGCUGAAAGUGAUUCAAGUAACCUCUUUUUUGAAGUGCGCCUCAGAGUCCUGUGUCGAAAAAGAAUUUAUUUUAGUAGAUAGAGGCGGAACCUAUCCGUUAACAGGGAUGAGUGGAGAUUAUUGCUUAAAGGCAGUAAUCUAAACAGAGUGGAACCGCGCCUAAAUAAGCGUCUCUGUC